rnacentral:lncRNA from 1 species
UCCUCGGGAGUCCGAAGCAGUAGGGGUACCCGAACCCCAAAGCCAACGAAGAGGAAAAAAACUUAGAAACGAAGCCAAAACCCAAAACCCCAAAUUGCCCGAGAUCCUUCUUCUUUGGAUUAAAUAUAAAAGGGAGAUGCCUUUAAAAAAAAAGUUCCUUUGUAUACAAAAGUUCUUAGAAAAGUUGUAAACUCGUAAAAAUAGACAAUCAGCAAGGCGAAUUAAGUAGGUCCGGUGGCCAGGCUGCGCUCUCUUCGACUCAGCAGCGUCCCCCACCGCUGUCGCGGUCGCCGCGGCUAUCGCCGUGAGCGCUGGGGCUGUGGCCGGGGUGGCAGGCGGGCGGCGCCGCCAGGAGCUCUUGAGGGAGGCCACCCUGGUCCGAAGUGCAUCUUACUUCUAACGUCUGCGUGGGCUCUAGCAAAGGAUCUAGCGGAAAAUACGGUUCAGGGAGUGUGUGAAGCCUGGGUCAACGCAGAGAACGAAGAGAAGACGUGGAGGAAGGACAUGGACUUUUGGCCUCGUAUCCACGCCUGCACCAAAGCCCAGACACCAGGUCUAUGUGGCUGUGUCUAACCAGCAGAUUUCUG